UAAUUACUCCCUCCGUUCCAAAAUAGACGACUCAACUUUGUACUAACUUUAAUAUAAAGUUAGUACAAAGUUGAGUCGUCUAUUUUGGAACGGAGGGAGUACUUU
rfam:Triticum aestivum genome assembly, contig: Triticum_aestivum_CS42_TGACv1_scaffold_514379_6BS